GGCAGCAGUGGGGAAUAUUGGACAAUGGGCGAAAGCCUGAUCCAGCCAUGCCGCGUGAGGGAUGAAGGCCCUAGGGUUGUAAAGCUCUUUCAACGGUGAAGAUAAUGACGGUAACCGUAGAAGAAGCCCCGGCUAACUUCGUGCCAGCAGCCGCG
rnacentral:rRNA from 1 species